GUGCUGGCUUCUUUGGCAGCACAUAUACUAAAAAUUGGAAUGAUACAGAGUAGAUCAGCAUGGUCUCUGCCCAAGGAUGACUUGACAUUUGUGAAAUGUUCCAUAUUUUU
ensembl:snRNA U6 U6 spliceosomal RNA